GCUGGGUGGAGUGACUGCUGCCCAGAGCAGGAACUGCCAGCCAGUCACCCCUGGAACUGGCAUUCUGGGGAACGCAGUGACUGCCAGAGCCUGUGGCUGCCCUGCCCACUGAUGCCGACACGGAUGCUCUGAGCUUCAUGGAGCCCAGCACCCCAUGUGGCCGCCUCACCCUCUCUGUCCCCUUAGAGGAUGCAGGAACUGGCUUCUCUCUCCUGAGAAUGAGCUGUGGAUAGAUGUGUGGACAACAGCAGCCAUAAACACUUGUCUCUGCUGUGAAAUGGAGCCUCAGGGGGCCGGGCUGGCUGGACCUGGGCCCCUGUGUUUAUAAAUCCAACCCAGGGGCCAGAUUCUCCAGGACAGGAAUCUGAAAGCGCCCCUGUCUCCGAGGAGCCAUGAGAACACUGCCCUCUCUUGUGCUUUGCAGUCACAAAACUGCUGGGGAGAAGGACCAGAGACCUGGCUCUCCACACCCUCAGGGCAGGGAAUGCACUGGAUGGGCUGUUCCUCCUAAAGACAAGUUCCUGUGCUUUCCCAGCCUGCCUGGCUAGAGCCAGGGUCUCCGCUGGAAGGAAUGUCUGUUUCUUCUCUGCGUGAAUCCUCUGCAGGCAGGAACAGCAUGUUAACAAUGCUCCCAGCUGGUCUGGAAAAGGGAGGAGCUGCCCCCAAGGAGCCAGCACAUUGCAGGGCGUCCGACUUGAUGCCAUGGAGAUGGGCAGUCUGCCAGCGCCUGUGGUCCCCUGGGGAGCAGGGUCUCCGCAGCACAGGGUGGGCUGAGUGGGCGGGAACAUAGGGAUGCUGCCGGGUUUGAGCUCUGGGGAGUUGCUAAGGCUCAGACCCCACCUUGCUGGCACUGCCUUGUUCCUCCCGGCACCCACUGCAGCUCUAGGGGAGCAGGCAUGCUGGUGGGGAGGGGUGGCACAGACAGGGCCCUGGGGGUGGGAAGCCCUUCCUUAGGGGAAAGGCAGCUCUGCUUUGUUACAGGAUUAACCUUGGAACGACUGGCUGAGGGCUAGGCUGUACCAGGUGCCUCUCCCCUGCACCUGUGUCCAAGAGCUGGGCUAGGCACAACACUGACAGCUGGAACCAGCCAGGUUUUGACCUAGGGCUGGGGGUGAGGGCAGCCCCUGGAGUGAGGCAGCUGGCCUGGCUGGGAUGAAGGCACUUGCCACAAACCACAUGGCACCAAGGCACCUUUGUCCCAGGCUGUGUCCAUGGGUGGGGCCUGCACUGAUCUAACCAGCACCACGGCCAGCCCUGGAUGGCUCACAUGCGACACUGUGCUGUGGCUCCAGCAAGGGGCUCGGCCCAAGGCUGGAAUUGCUCCAUGAGGGUCCCUGGCCUGGGUUGCACAGCAGCUCAGACUGGAUGGGCACAAAGUUCCCCUCUGUCCUCUACCUGUGAGUUCCCAGGAGCUCAUCUCCCCCAGACUGAUCCCCCCUCCCCAAAGCGUCUGUUUGCUGCAGUAGCUGGCUGGUUCCAGGCCGGUAGCCUGCCCAGUGACCCCGCCGGCCUCACAUCCCUGCCCAGCUGGCUCCCUGUGCAGGAGCCUGCCAGCCCCACGCAGCAGGGCCCAUAGUGACAGGGAGGGCCCAGUUCUGUGUGGGAUCCAGCGCUCAGGCAGAGGGGAUGCCUGUACACAUCCCGACAGGAGGCCACUCUCAGUGAGGCCAGCCUUGCCUGGGGGCUGCUCUCUGGCCGUGGCAAGCUGGAGCUCUGUUGCUGUGUAACCUGGGCCCAGUGGGAGUGCCGCCCUAGGCUGGGGUUAGGAAGGCUGAAGCAAGGCACAGCGGUUCUGGGCAGGUGGGCCCCUGUGGAGGUUCCCGUGCUGCGGGCAGAGGGCUGUACUCUCACAGAGCCCUGGUUGCAUAGGGGCGCUACCAAUGGUGCAGGGGCAUGGAACAAGCCCUGCUCUGACAUUACCGUGCCCUUGCGGGAGAGCCGGGCAGCGCCGGCUCCCUUAUCUCUGUGCAGGGAAGGGCAAGCAGGAGCCUGAAGGACACAGGCAGGGACUGGUGCCUGCGGACGCAGAGCAUGAGGCCAGCGAGCAGCUGGGGGCCAGGCAGGGCUGCUCCAGGGGUUGGCUCUGCACUAACUCGCCCUUCUGUUGCUAAGAGCCAUCGGUGCCACCUGGAGUGACCCUCCCCCCACCAAGGCACCGCAGAGGGCUGGGGGGAGGGGGCACCUGAUGUGAUCCACUGGCUGCAAAUGUUU